rnacentral:rRNA from 1 species
UACGUAGGGGGCUAGCGUUGUCCGGAUUUAUUGGGCGUAAAGAGCGUGUAGGCGGCCAGGUAGGUCUGCUGUGAAAACUCGAGGCUCAACCUCGAGACGUCGGCGGAAACCAUCUGGCUAGAGUCCGGAAGAGGCGAGUGGAAUUCCCGGUGUAGCGGUGAAAUGCGCAGAUAUCGGGAGGAACACCGGUGGCGAAGGCGGUUCUCUGGGCCUUACCUGACGCUGAGGAGCGAAAGCGUGGGAGCGAACAGG